AACAACAACAACACGAGGAAACAUGCGUGAAAAGGCAAACAAACAAUAUUUGUAAACACGAGAACAACUGCUGGCGGUACACAUUAUAAGAAGAUCACUUUAUUGGACGAGAAGUUGUUACGCCUACAAAUUUCAGACGUUGCAUCUUGAAGACAGCGAUCACUUCAUGAUCAUUCUCACAGGAAAGUGAAGAGAAAAUGGCCAAAAGGGAGUGUAUAUUGGGAAAAUUGAAACCUUUCAAAGCAACUGAUGAGUACUACAAUCUUCUGCCAGAGGACGAAGCAGCAACCCCCAAGUCAUUCACAAGAUUACAAAAGGGCUAUGAAUUGUUUUUUUUUUCUUUUUUUGGCAAGCACAAUUCUGCUGCCAAAACCAAGAAUGCCUUCACAGUUUGCUUCGAAUAUGAUAAUGGAGAACAGUGAAAGUUUUUGUUAGUAAGAAAAUCAGUCUUGGAGAGGAAGGAAAGAGAUCCGUGAUAACAGAUGAUACCUUAAAGCACUAUCUAGAUAAACAUAUGUGCAAGUAAUCUCGCAUCAACAAAUAUGUGUCUAGCAGUGAGAAAGCUCAUUUUCACAAGUGUGUUUUUGGAUAUCAGACCAACCAUGACAUUUAUAAACAGUCCUCCAGAGUUGGUUGAACACAGUACAUGUACAUUAGUCCGGAGGAUUUAAUCAUAACUACCACCAACAAAGUUGAAGUGGUUUUUACUGGUUUGAAAUGUGAGGUGUAAUCAUACAGUAAACAAAUAAUAUAGUAUUAACAUCGUUAUAGCAUUCAAGGUUUUUAUUCAUUUGUUUAGCUUAUCUGAGCCAAAGGCUCGGGAUGAGCUGUUAGUAUGGAUUGGUUGUCCAGCAUUAAACGUCCUGUGUCCAUCCUCAAGAUUGCAUAUAAAUUGCUUCUCUAAAACUACAUAUCACAUGUUUACCAAAUUUGGUCUGUAACACCCCUCCUUUGACCAGCAUUCAAAUUACAGGAAAUGGUUACUUUGUGACCUUGACCAUUGAUCUUAUGAUAUAAAUUAUAUUCAUACUGAAUGUUUUAGUACAUUGUAAAAUGAGUAUUGAUUUAAUUGAUACAAGAAUUGUAUGAAUCUAGUUAAAAACAUCAAAUUUUGAUAUCCAUUAUCUAAUAGAAGUGUAAA
rnacentral:lncRNA from 1 species